rnacentral:rRNA from 1 species
AUUGAACGCUGGCGGCAUGCCUUACACAUGCAAGUCGAACGGCAGCACGGGUGCUUGCACCUGGGGGCGAGUGGCGAACGGGUGAGUAAUACAUCGGAACAUGUCCUGUAGUGGGGGAUAGCCCGGCGAAAGCCGGAUUAAUACCGCAUACGAUCUACGGAUGAAAGCGGGGGACCUUCGGGCCUCGCGCUAUAGGGUUGGCCGAUGGCUGAUUAGCUAGUUGGUGGGGUAAAGGCCUACCAAGGCGACGAUCAGUAGCUGGUCUGAGAGGACGACCAGCCACACUGGGACUGAGACACGGCCCAGACUCCUACGGGAGGCAGCAGUGGGGAAUUUUGGACAAUGGGCGAAAGCCUGAUCCAGCAAUGCCGCGUGUGUGAAGAAGGCCUUCGGGUUGUAAAGCACUUUUGUCCGGAAAGAAAUCCUUGGCCCUAAUACGGUCGGGGGAUGACGGUACCGGAAGAAUAAGCACCGGCUAACUACGUG